AUUUUGGAUAUUAGACCCCUGCCAGAUGGGUAGAUUGCAAAAUUUUUCUCACAUUCUCUAGGUUGCCUCUUCCCUCAGAUGUUAGUUUCUUUUGCUGUACAGAAGCUCUUUAGUUUAAUUAGAUCCCAUUUGUCAAUUUUAGAUCACAAAGCAUUUUCUAUGUGUAUGUGACUAUAGUGUAUUAUAGAUACUGACGAGUGUUAGAGAUAAGACUGGAAAAAAUUCAGGUACCAAAUAAUGAAGGGAAUUUGGAUCUUAUGCUGGAGUUUUCACAGAACUAUUGAAGGUUGAUUGGCCAAAUAAUAAAAUUUUCUGUGUUUCGAAACUUUCUGUAUAGUAACAAUGUAAAGUCAUAAUAGGGAUAGUUUGGAGAUUAAUGCUUCAUGUAUCAUACUCCAUGUAACAAUUAAUCAGGCAGAUCACAAGAACAGGCAGAGUUCUUUUUUUUUUUUUUUCAGUCAUCAGGUUUCAUUUAUUGGAGGUAUAUAUAUAUAUAUAUAUAUAUAUAUAUAUAUAUAUUUAAAUUUUGAACAUUAAAUAAUAAAAAAGAAAAGAUUUGUUGCUCCCGAACCGACCCACAUUUGUUUUAAUUUUUUUUGAAAUCUUAAAAUUAUUUAUUAUAUAUAUAUUAUUAUUAUUAUUAUUAUACUUUAAGUGUACAGACUUUCUGAAACACUCCAGGGUGACUACAUCCCCACAGGAGGAGUGCCUUCCAGGUUGCAGGAGACAGUCACAAUCUUUCUCUACUUGGAACAUCAGCAUUCCUGCAUAUGAAAAGAGGUGCCUGUCUGAUCUGAAUAGCCAGAACACUGAGUCAAGAGGAUGAUUGGGAGGCAGAUUGCUUUCCCAUUGACCUGUAAGUGCAGCCCUGGUGUCUCCCUCACUUCCCACUGAAAAGAUAUCAGCGCAUUUCACUGAGUACUUUCCCAGACACCUCUGUCAAGGAUGGGACUUCUCACUAUUGGGGUAUUACAUUUACUCACCUGCUUUAGUCACAGCCAGUUUUUCCUUGUGGAUUGCUCCUACUGGCCUGAAGCCUGAACUGUUCAACCAAGUGAAAAAAAUACUGGGGAUUUUUUUUUUAAGUGCCUCCUUUACACUUAUCAUUUCAUAUUCACAAUUUUAAAUGGUCUCAUCCCAUAAUGGUGACUA
rnacentral:lncRNA from 10 species